rnacentral:rRNA from 1 species
CAUGCAAGUCGAGGGGUAACAGGGAGCUUGCUCCGCUGACGACCGGCGCACGGGUGCGCAACGCGUAUGCAAUCUACCUCUUACUAAGGGAUAGCCCAGAGAAAUUUGGAUUAAUAUCUUAUGUGAUAUGUGACUGGCAUCGGUUACAUAUUAAAGGUUACGGUAAGAGAUGAGCAUGCGUCUCAUUAGUUAGUUGGUAAGGUAACGGCUUACCAAGACUUCGAUGAGUAGGGGUCCUGAGAGGGAGAUCCCCCACACUGGUACUGAGACACGGACCAGACUCCUACGGGAGGCAGCAGUGAGGAAUAUUGGACAAUGGACGGAAGUCUGAUCCAGCCAUGCCGCGUGUAGGAAGACUGCCCUAUGGGUUGUAAACUACUUUUAUACAGGAAGAAUAAGAUCUACGUGUAGAUUGAUGACGGUACUGUAAGAAUAAGGACCGGCUAACUCCGUGCCAGCAGCCGCGGUAAUACGGAGGGUCCGAGCGUUAUCCGGAAUUAUUGGGUUUAAAGGGUCCGUAGGCGGGCUGUUAAGUCAGAGGUGAAAUGCUGCGGCUCAACCGUAUGCACUGCCUUUGAUACUGGCGGUCUUGAGUUAUAGUGAAGUGGCUAGAAUAAGUAGUGUAGCGGUGAAAUGCAUAGAUAUUACUUAGAAUACCGAUUGCGAAGGCAGGUCACUAACUAUACACUGACGCUGAUGGACGAAAGCGUGGGUAGCGAACAGGAUUAGAUACCCUGGUAGUCCACGCCGUAAACGAUGGAUACUAGCUGUUCGGUUUUCGGACUGAGCGGCCAAGCGAA